AGAACGAACGCUGGCGGCAUGCCUAAUACAUGCAAGUCGAACGAAGGCUUCGGCCUUAGUGGCGCACGGGUGCGUAACGCGUGGGAAUCUGCCCCUUGGUUCGGAAUAACAGUUGGAAACGACUGCUAAUACCGGAUGAUGACGAAAGUCCAAAGAUUUAUCGCCAAGGGAUGAGCCCGCGUAGGAUUAGCUAGUGGUGAGGUAAGGCUCACAAGGCGACGAUCCUAGCUGGUCUGAGAGGAUGAUCAGCCACACUGGGACUGAGACACGGCCCAGACUCCGUACGGGAGCAGGCAGGUAGGGAAUAUUGGACAAGUGGGACGAAAGCCGUAGAU
rnacentral:rRNA from 1 species